CGCCUCGUGUCGACUUGUCGCCUUCUUCAUAAGGCGACGAUUUAGAUGGCCGCUAACAGCCACCAUAAAUAUGUGUAAAAUACCAAACAAAAAAAACAAACAGUAACAUCAUAAGCAGAGUUACAUAGAACAUGAACAACACAACACAGAGUUAUAUAGAGCAGUUACACCAUAAUCAGAGUUAAGUAACAGUUUAAAAAUAAACAGCCGGUAUACGCAAUCAGUAUAUAAAUAUCUUUUGAUAUUAUGUUGAAUAUUACGUAACAAUGACAAUGGUAACAAUAUUCUCAAAAUAUUAAAAUAUUGUGGCGAAAAAUUUUGAAACAAAAGAAGAACCCUCGGGCGAAGAUUCAUUGACGUCUAUGAAACUGUCAGUCACAUGACUAUAUGUAUGUUUAAAAUACAUAUAGAAAUAUUAACAACAGAAGCAGGCAUAUAUAGCAGUUUAGUAUUAAACAGCUGUUACUGGUUCUUAAGCCUCAAUUUGUGGAACCUGUAGUGGGGCAACAUUAGAUAUUGUAUUAUAGCGAGAACAGUCAGCUCUUUAUCUGAAUCUUACACAAGUUUACCAGUAUUAAAUCCACACAAUCCAUCAACAUGCAGAUGUUAGUAUGUCUAGUACUUGUAUCCAUUGCUAUGAUAAUGCCUACAGAUGGUUACCGCACCCAUUUUCAACUUAUUAAUCAGUUAUCAAGAACCAUAGCGUCUCCAGCGGCUCCAAUUAAACCACCACCUCGGGCACCAGCUCCUGUAUUUCAGCCUCCAAAUAGAUCAACCAAUUGGGUACCUGCUCCUGCAUUCCCGCCCCGAAAUAAACCAACGCAAUGGGAACCUGCUAGAUCACCUCCGCUUCAAUAUAAACCAAUACCCCAGGCACCAGCUCCUGCAUUCCCACCUCAAAAUAAACCGACACAAUGGGCACCUGCUCCUGCAUUCCCGCCUCCAAAUAGACUACCACCUCGGGCACCAGCUCCCGUAUUCCCGCCUCAAAAUAAACCAACACAAUGGGCACCAGCUCAAGUAUUUCCGCCCCCAAAUGGACCAACACGUUGGGUAUCAGCUCCAAACUUUCCACCACCAAUUAAACCAUUACCUAUGGAACCAGAAGAACUACCAACUACCCCAGCACCUCCGACGCCAGCAGCUGCAGCAGCAGCAAUAAUUUUAGCCAAUUUCUCUUCAAUGGGAGUUGAGACACUACACAAACUUGAUAUGGAGUUGAGCAGGCUAAGACAUGAAUCAAUGACACAGAUAGACCUAAUUCCUGUUGUGGAUGUUCUGGAGGAUGUUCUGCCGCUGAUCGAAGAUUUUUCCAUAGAAUUAAAGGACUCGAUGAUAAAAUUUAAGGAAAUACUGCCACUUUCUGUCAUUCCCAAUCUUAAUACUCCCAAACUAUCCCCUCUGUUUCGGCGUAUGAUGGGAACCGGCGUCAGGCGUCAAGUACCGACACAGUACAAUUGGAUCUGAAUAUUAGGAAUUUUGUAACGUUUAACAACGCAAAAUUUUACAUUAUUGAUGGCAAUUAUUGAACAUGAUGCCAUAAUGUAUUUAGUUACAUAUAUGAUGAUCUAAACAUUGCGCAAUUGUUAUAUAAAAAAUCUCUUUAAAUAUUGAAAAUCUUUACCCAUUUUCAUAUAAAGUUUUUUUUAUUAAAUCUCAACCUUUGUUAAUUUGACUAUAGAUUAAUUAUCAAGGCUCUGCAUGCCAAAUAAUAGACACAACUAUAUUAACAGUCAAAUUUUAUGAAACCAUAUUACUGCUAAUAAUGUUAUUACAAUCAAAGUUUGAAAGCAUACGAGCAUAAAAAAAUUUUGUAUAAAUAAUGCUCCGCUUAGUAUAGUAUUAUUAUUAUUGAUAUACAAAGACGAGUAAAGAAAUCACUAGAAACUUCAGUUACAAUCUGAUUAAAAUACAGAUCUAUAUUUUGUUUCGUUUUUUUUUUAUACUUUCAAUGGCCUACACUACAUGAAGAUCUGACCGGUUGUAGCGAUAGGUCGCGUCAGAGGUCAUGCGAGCGGCUUUUGGCCCUAUGACGUCAGACAUUUGAUUAACCAAUCAGCAUUGAUGUUACUAGUGGAUUAUCCACAGUUCCGUGCAAAACACGCCUAAAGCUCGCCGUAACAGACCGUUUCAUUGGCUAAUUCCUCACACCAUUCAGAACACGUCAAUUAUAACAACUCUUCCAGGGGCCUAUUUCACGAAAUUUUAACUAAGAUAAAAUCCAAAUUUUAGUAAUUUGAUUGGACAGUAUUAGGUUGAUUUUAGUGCUUAGCCAAUCAAAAUUGAAGUAUCUACUAAAAUUUUGGAUUUUAUCUUUAGUUAAGAUUUCGAGAAACAGGGCCCAGGUCCUAGUGUAGUAAAGACAAGUAAAACUAAAUUUUGAACUAUAAAAACGAAACGAAAUAGGAUCUGUGUUUUAAUCAGAUUGCUUCAGUUAGAAUUGAUAAAUCUGGGUACUUUUUGUACGAACAUGUUUGCUGUGUAAGAAUAUUCUACUUGUAUAUAAUUAGAUUGAAAUAUCGGGACAUUAUCAUCAGACAAUGCUCUGUUGUUAUUGUAAUAUUAUAAAACCUUUGGAUGGGGACGACAACCCGAGGUCCCAAGGAAAAAAAUGUCUCUAUCCAGUCCGUUAGACUAACUUAUUUUAUUUUGGAUGCCAAUUAAAAGUACUCUGUCCAAUUAAAGUUUAAAAGUUAAAUGGUUAUGUGUGUACAGCGGUUUUAGUAUAUAUUUUUUUUCUUUUUUAAAAUUAAAUUUAAGGUACAUUUGUACAGUGUAAAAGUGAAAUGCUUAAGUGUACAACGGUUUUGGUUUCUUUUAUUAUGCCUGUCCUCAUUAGCCCAGUCAUUUACAACUCAACAAUUAAAUCCAAGAGAAAUAGGGGGUGGGGUGGGGGAUUUACUACAUUGAUAUACUAUUGUAAAUAUUAUAAAUUUAAUCCUAUUUAUGGAAACAGCGGUGGCUCGGUCACUAAGAUGGUAGCUCGCUAACCAGGAGGACUCGGGUUCACUUCCGGUGCUGACCGAGAAAGUUCCUCUGGGUAUUUCGUUGUAUUUCCCCCGUAUCAGUUGUACAGGAAGGAAGAUCUGGCAAUGAUGGUGUCUAGUACUUCGGAUGGGACAAAAAGGCGAGGUCCCGCGUACACAUUGGCGUGCAGGGAAAAGAACCCUGACAGAUGGAAUUCGAUAUAAGAGUAGAUCGUAGCACCCCUUCCUGGGCAAAAUUUCCCUCAUAGCACAUUGUAUGGGUAUUUCCAUUUUCAUUAGCCCAGCCGGAGUUUAAGUACAAUGCUAAACCCCACUGCAUUCCUAUUUAUAUUACAAGUAUACAGCUACUUGCUUCAGUAUGUAAUAAUGUAUAAUUAUUUUU